UACGUAGGUGGCAAGCGUUGUCCGGAUUUACUGGGCGUAAAGCGAACGCAGGCGGGCCUUUAAGUAGGAAGUGAAAGGUUGGAGCUCAACUCUAACACUGCUCCCUAUACUGGAGGCCUUGAGUGCCGGAGAGGAAGACGGAACUGCAGGUGUAGCGGUGAAAUGCGUUGAUAUCUGCAGGAACACCAAUGGCGAAAGCAGUCUUCUGGACGGAUACUGACGCUCAGGUUCGAAAGCCAAGGUAGCAAACAGG
rnacentral:rRNA from 1 species